GACAAAAAUGCUUAUUUUCCAAAAGCUAUUUUUUUCUCUCAUCUUCCUCACAUAACAACAACAAUACACUCAAAUUCUUCAUCUAGUUUUUCAGAAAAAAUUGAUAAAACAAACAACCAACAAUCAGAUUCCGUUUUUGAUUUGGAAUUGUUUCAAUUUCGGUUUCGCGGUUUUAUUUGAGCUUCACGGCUAUGUUUGGUAUUCACGAAGGUUUUUUGUUCAGAAACCAGUUCUGUUUUGCUUCGAGUUUGGAGGUUUCGACUCAGUGCGGAGUUUGGAUUCGAGCAGAGCUUUUUCAAGAUUUUGGUUUAAAUUAAAAUUAAAGCUAGUAUACAACAUCCUAAAGCUAAAUUGGAUGAGCGCUUACCAGUUCAAAUGAAGAAAAAUACAGAUUUUAUCCUUUCUCGCAAGGAAAUUUGAAGACAUUUUUGACGUGGACCACUUCAUUGUCCGUAUUGUCCGCGAUAUCCCAGAAUGGUUUACUGAUAAAACAGAUCUAUUUUCUAGUAUAAGGUUUUUGUUUCAGUGAUUCAGCAGAAAAUAGAACUUCUCGAUUCGUAUUUCGUAUUUCGAAUUUCAUAUUGAGAAUUUGUAUAGCAGACUUGGGAUCUCAUGGAAGCCGAUAGGUAUUCUUCAAAACCAGUUAUAUUUAGUGGAAAGUUGAAUGGUUUUUUAUUUUUUAUGAAGUAAUUUGUUGUGUGAUAUAAACAUUCCUUUCAUAAUGCUCAUGAAUGUCUUACCGGAUUAAAUACCCCAACCACCUUUGAGAUGCCAUUGGAAAUUUUCGGUCACGAAUUGCAAUUUUUUCAGGUAUUGUACUUUGUGGAAAGUGUUCUUUCUGCA